UAGGAAUUGUGUCCAGCCGCCGCGGUAAUACGUAGGGGGCAAGCGUUAUCCGGAUUUACUGGGUGUAAAGGGAGCGUAGACGGCACGGCAAGCCAGAUGUGAAAGCCCGGGGCUCAACCCCGGGACUGCAUUUGGAACUGCUGAGCUAGAGUGUCGGAGAGGCAAGUGGAAUUCCUAGUGUAGCGGUGAAAUGCGUAGAUAUUAGGAGGAACACCAGUGGCGAAGGCGGCUUGCUGGACGAUGACUGACGUUGAGGCUCGAAAGCGUGGGGAGCAAACAGG
rnacentral:rRNA from 1 species